rnacentral:rRNA from 1 species
GAUGAACGCUGGCGGCGUGCUUAACACAUGCAAGUCGAACGAUGAAGCCCAGCUUGCUGGGUGGAUUAGUGGCGAACGGGUGAGUAACACGUGAGUAACCUGCCCUUGACUCUGGGAUAAGCCUGGGAAACUGGGUCUAAUACUGGAUAUGACUUCUCAUCGCAUGGUGGGGGGUGGAAAGAUUUAUUGGUCUUGGAUGGACUCGCGGCCUAUCAGCUUGUUGGUGAGGUAAUGGCUCACCAAGGCGACGACGGGUAGCCGGCCUGAGAGGGUGACCGGCCACACUGGGACUGAGACACGGCCCAGACUCCUACGGGAGGCAGCAGUGGGGAAUAUUGCACAAUGGGCGCAAGCCUGAUGCAGCGACGCCGCGUGAGGGAUGACGGCCUUCGGGUUGUAAACCUCUUUCAGUAGGGAAGAAGCGAGAGUGACGGUACUUGCAGAAGAAGCGCCGGCUAACUACGUG